rnacentral:rRNA from 1 species
AGUGGCCCAAGGGGGUUGGAGUCAUCAUAAUCUAUCCUGUUUCGUAAAAUAACGCUUCGAAAGAGGUGCUAAUACCGCAUAAUCCGGCAACGGUAAAGGUGGCCACUGUUUACAUGCUAUCGCCAAAGGAGGAGCUCACGCACCAUUAGCUAGUUGGUAGGGUAAAAGCCUACCAAGGCAACGAUGGUUAGCUGGUCUGAGAGGAUGAUCAGCCACACUGGAACUGAGACACGGUUCAGACUCCUACGGGAGGCAGCAGUGAGGAAUAUUGCGCAAUGGGGGAAACCCUGACGCAGCAACGCCGCGUGGAGGAUGACGGCCCUUGGGUUGUAAACUCCUGUCGAGUGGAAAGAAAAGUAGAAAAGACUAAUACUCUUUUUAAUUGACGGUACCACUAAAGGAAGUCCCGGCUAACUCUGUGCCAGCAGCCGCGGUAAUACAGAGGGGACAAGCGUUGUUCGGAAUUACUGGGCGUAAAGGGCGCGUAGGCGGCCUGUUAAGUCAGCAGUGAAAUCCCACGUUUCAAGCGUGGAACUGCUACUGAAACUGAUAGGCUAGAGUUCGGUAGAGGGAGGCGGAAUUCCCAGUGUAGCGGUGGAAUGUGUAGAUAUUGGGAAGAACACCCAGAGGCGUAGGCGGCUUCCUGGAACGAUACUGACGCUAAAGUGCCGAAAGGCUAGGGGGAGCAAACGGGAUUAGAUACCCCCGGUAGU